GAUGAACGCUGCCAGAAUGCUUAACACAUGCAAGUCAACUUGAAUUUGGGUUUUUAACUUAGGUUUGGGUGGCGGACGGGUGAGUAACGCGUAAAGAACUUGCCUCACAGCUAGGGACAACAUUUGGAAACGAAUGCUAAUACCUAAUAUUAUGAUAAUAGGGCAUACUAUAAUUAUGAAAGCUAUAAGCGCUGUGAGAGAGCUUUGCGUCCCAUUAGCUAGUUGGAGAGGUAACGGCUCACCAAGGCGAUGAUGGGUAGCCGGCCUGAGAGGGUGAUCGGCCACAAGGGGACUGAGACACGGCCCUUACUCCUAGGGGAGGCAGCAGGGGGAAAUAUUGGACAAUGGACCGAGAGUCUGAUCCAGCAAUUCUGUGUGCACGAUGAAGUUUUUCGGAAUGUAAAGUGCUUUCAGUUGGGAAGAAACAAAUGACGGUACCAACAGAAGAAGUGACGGCUAAAUACGUG
rnacentral:rRNA from 1 species